rnacentral:tRNA from 1 species
CAUGGACGUAGCUAAAUAGUUAAAGUACCUCCCUUACACCAAGGAGACACCUGUGCGAACCAGGUCGCCCUAC